rnacentral:rRNA from 1 species
CUGAAAUCAGGCGGGACUACCCGCUGAACUUAAGCAUAUCAAUAAGCGGA